GAUGAACGCUGGCGGCGUGCUUAACACAUGCAAGUCGAGCGAAGCACUUAAGAAUGAUUCUUCGGAUGAAGACUUUUGUGACUGAGCGGCGGACGGGUGAGUAACGCGUGGGUAACCUGCCUCAUACAGGGGGAUAACAGUUAGAAAUGGCUGCUAAUACCGCAUAAGACCACAGUACUGCAUGGUACAGUGGUAAAAACUCCGGUGGUAUGAGAUGGACCCGCGUCUGAUUAGGUAGUUGGUGAGGUAACGGCCCACCAAGCCGACGAUCAGUAGCCGACCUGAGAGGGUGACCGGCCACAUUGGGACUGAGACACGGCCCAGACUCCUACGGGAGGCAGCAGUGGGGAAUAUUGCACAAUGGGCGAAAGCCUGAUGCAGCGACGCCGCGUGAAGGAUGAAGUAUUUCGGUAUGUAAACUUCUAUCAGCAGGGAAGAAAAUGACGGUAC
rnacentral:rRNA from 1 species